AUGAUGCCAACCACGCGACCACAAUAGGAGGGAGACCUAGAGCUUACGUCAUUAAAGUGACUUCAUGGCCAAUCAGAUGAGGAGGAUCAUUUCAAACUAUGACUAAACAGGAAAUGUCUUUGUGUUCCCAGCUGACACUUGGGCCAUCAUGUGCGUGUUGUUCUUGUCCUUUCUUCUCUUUGUUUCUAUCCCCGCACAGGCCACCAUCACCAGAAUGGACCAAACCCCGGCCGACGCCAUCAAGGCGGCGGGCGACGAUGUAAUCAUGAGCUGCAACCAUUCCAGCAAUCUAGGUUUGAACAUGAUCUGGUACAAGCAGACCGCUCCGGCAGCCGCCUUCACCCAAGUGGCCCGGACGGGUGUGAAAAAUGUGGUGGUGGACGCUGACGUGUACCGGCUGACUGGCAGCGCCUCUCACUCGUCCCUUGGCGUCAACCGCCUCCGGCCUUCUGAGAACGCUGUGUACUUCUGCGCCGCCACGGAGGCGCGCACGGCGAUGCAUGACCUCGUCAGCCCCGCACAAAGCGCCUUAAAUUCUGUUCCCCUUUUGAUAGCGUCCUGUACUUUGCGCUAUGCUUACUGUCUGCUGUAUGCACACUGGCUCAGCUCGUCUCGACUGUUUAACAUUUGAU